GAUCAGUUGUUUAUCAGAAUCAACACUUUUAUAUAGCUUUGCGCACAUUAGUGUUAAGCAUAAUAUUGAAUUAAUGAAUUGAAGUAAUGGCUGGUGUAAUAACAGAAAUAGCAGAAGAUAAUGCCGCAGGGAAAGUUGUAUUUAAAAGGACAGCUAAGAGGAGUUUACGACAGCGUAAACAGUCUGAAGAGGAGCAAGAUAGUCAAGAGGAUAUAGUUUCGUUGGAAAAUAUUAAAGUACGCCAAAAAUUGCGAGAACGUCCACAUGGUGUCAGUGUGGUUGGUCUAGCUUUAGGCAAAAAGCUGGCACCCGAAGAAGAGAUCACUUUGAAAGAUCCUUUCAAUGCUAAAGCGGGGGGCUUGGUUAAUAUGCAAGCUUUAAAAUCGGGUAAAUUGAAAGAAUGUGAUGACGCUUAUGAUGUGGGCAUUGGCACACAAUUUUCUGCCGAGACGAAUAAGCGCGACGAAGAUGAAGAAAUGAUGAAAUAUAUUGAACAGGAAUUGCAAAAACGCAAGGGUAUUACGACUAUUGAUAUGAACAACGAUAAUAAUAGUCUUAACAGUGAAAUAGAAGAAACGAAUGACCUCCAGAAAUAUUUAACGCCUGAAGAAGCUGCUUUAAUGGCUUUGCCCGAGCAUCUUAGGCAAUCAUCGUCGCAUCGUUCUGAAGAAAUGUUGUCAAAUCAAAUGUUAAACGGUAUACCAGAGGUUGAUUUAGGCAUCGAUGCCAAAAUUCGAAAUAUCGAAGCUACCGAAGAGGCAAAACAGAGAUUAUUGCAAGAUCAGAAAAAUAAAAAAGACGGUCCUUCCCAAUUUGUACCCACCAAUAUGGCAGUGAAUUUUAUGCAGCACAAUCGCUUUAAUAUUGAUGACGGCAAUGAGAACAGACGCAGAAACUUUAGGAAAGAAGUAAAUGAUGAUCAAAACAAUCAUCACAAUCAAUUGGGCCCAAAUGGUGUUAAACGCGCCACGGAUGAUUACCAUUACGAUAAAUUUAAAAAACAAUUUCGUCGCUAUUGAAAUUAUUCUAUAUAUUUGGUGAGCUUAAUAAGAAUAAUUUGCAAUUCGCUGCGUUCUAUCCAUUACCGUAUAAAUUUUUUCGGCGUUUUGUUAAUCCGAAACAUAUACGAAAGUCUUAAUUAAUUGUAUAAUUAUAAUUUAAGCAAACGUUAGGCUUUAAAACAAUUUAUCUACGUUCUGUUUGUCGUCCGUCUCUGAAUGAUCAAAAUCGGAAUAUAAUGAAGUAGAAAUCUAAAUCCUGGCAAAUACAUUUUCUAUUCUCUGGGACUGUCCGUUAACACAUGCACAAUAAUGAAAAAUUUGAAAAAACGAAAUUCUAUCAGUUCGCUUAUAAUGCCAUUAAUGAUGAUGAUAAUGGUGAUGGGUGUUCACGAAUCUGUCCAAGACAAAAAUUCUAUAUUUAAAAACUUUUAUUAAUCAAUAAAGUAAGAGCUAUAAAAAGAUAAGAAAAAGGGAGUGCGAAAAAAAAAAAAAAGUUUAAUAAAAUUUUGUAAGCAGCACGCACGUUGAUAACGUUUUUUUAGUUUCUUAACUCAACGUUUAUUAUCCACCAAGUUAAGGAACAAUUGCUAUUAAUAAAAUUAAUAUCAGUAUGAAAAUAAAUUCUUUAGAAAGCAUUUCUUCAACUUUCAUGAUUAAUAUUACUUCAGUCUCAAACAAGAACAUAGCAUGGACAAGAGCUUAACUCGUAAUGUCGUAACGUAAGUCCCUUUAAACAAAUGAGGGGCGUCCAAGUAACUUGGAAGUUUUCGAGCAUUUUACGAAUCCGUAUUACAAAUCGAAUUAAAUACGUGACUUAAUUAAUUGCAAUCUUUCUAUGGAGAGAAAAACAAUACCAGCAGAAUAAGCUUUGGCAGAAGUAACAUAAUGAAAAAUAUUAUCAAAAUAAUGGAGAAAAGGAAUUAAAAUGGAGUAGACAUUUUCAUCCACUAUAAGACGAAUCUUGGAUACCCAACACAUACUUAAUUAAAGAUGGAACAACGAACGCUUGCUGAACUGUCUCAACACUUCGGUAAGAACGUCAACACAUGGAGCUUUUGUUGAAUUUUCGUCACUUGUCAGCAAGGCUGGCUUGGCAGGCCGAUGAGCAGACAACUAAAGCUAACGAAGCCGGCAGCUAAGCAAGGAGUUAGGCAAAGCAGGCACCUAGGCAAGUAAUCUUAAAUUAGUCACUAGUGUCGUUGAAACCCUAUUGCAUCCUUCAACUGUUUAGCUGCUUUUCAUUUUUAAGCUUUUACUCAGAUUCAUCCAAUUUCCUUCCUAUGUUGUAUGAUUGCCUUGCUGCGUUGAUUUGGUAUGUGGCAAACGAAGGAAGAGAGAGAAAGGAUGAAAAACAUUUUGAAAAGAAAAGUGGUAUUUAUUUAAAAUUUUCCCAGUCUUAAAUUGCUCAAGAAGCAACAACUUAACCGCAUACCUACGCACAUUGCUUAUACAAAAGAGCGAACAGCCCAUUACAUAUUGGUGUAGAAUUUUAUGAAAACAUUCGUUUCGUUGUUCUCUUUUUUUUU